rnacentral:rRNA from 1 species
CAGUCGCCACGGUAAUACAGAGGGUGCGAGCGUUAAUCGGAUUUACUGGGCGUAAAGCGUGCGUAGGCGGCUUCUUAAGUCGGAUGUGAAAUCCCUGAGCUUAACUUAGGAAUUGCAUUCGAUACUGGGAAGCUAGAGUAUGGGAGAGGAUGGUAGAAUUCCAGGUGUAGCGGUGAAAUGCGUAGAGAUCUGGAGGAAUACCGAUGGCGAAGGCAGCCAUCUGGCCUAAUACUGACGCUUAGGUACGAAAGCAUGGGGAGCAAACAGGAUUAGAGACCCCCGUAGUCCCUGUCUCUUAUAC